GAAAAGUUUUUUUUUCCAUUGGAUUUAGAUCUUUAUCUGUUUGCUAUUCUAAUAGCAAUUCUGUGCAGGUAAAUGGAUCCUAGCUUAACUAUCAAAUACAAACAGAAAAACUGGGAAAGAAGAGAAAGCAAGAAAGAAAAAUAACAAGUUAGGAAGGAAGAAGUGUGUAAGCCAAAAGUAAAUGAUCCCACCCUCACCCGGACAACUGACUGAAAUGGAGAACUGCAGCUAAUGUGACUAUCGUCAUGGAAUACUACGUCAGUAGUGCAGUUCUGAGUUUGUCUUUAUUUUGCCCGUAAGAAAAAAAGAUUGAAAUAGAAGAGAAAACUACCGUAAAACGCGUUUUGAAAAAGCCGAGCAAGGAAUAAGCGAACAAUUUUACCUGAUAAUUUGCUUGAAACGAUCUUUGAUUAUCUACUGUUACGGACCUCAAUGUAGAAAAUACGUCGCGUUCUGGAAGUAUCGCAGUGACCAGUGCGGGUGAAAAUUGGCCACAACUCGUGUAUAAUAGGCUAACUUAUCCCAUUUGAAAGGUUUCGGG